UACAGAGGUCUCAAGCGUUGUUCGGAUUCAUUGGGCGUAAAGGGUGCGUAGGUGGCGGGGUAAGUCAGGUGUGAAAUUUCGGAGCUUAACUCCGAAACUGCAUUUGAUACUGCCUUGCUUGAGGACUGGAGAGGAGACUGGAAUUCACGGGUGUAGCAGUGAAAUGCGUAGAGAUCGUGAGGAAGACCAGUGGCGAAGGCGGGUCUCUGGACAGUUCCUGACACUGAGGCACGAAGGCCAGGGGAGCAAACGGGG
rnacentral:rRNA from 1 species